rnacentral:rRNA from 1 species
UCCGGAGGGUGCAAGCGUUAUCCGGAUUCACUGGGUUUAAAGGGUGCGUAGGCGGGCAUUUAAGUCAGUGGUGAAAUACCUGAGCUUAACUUGGGAAUUGCCAUUGAUACUAUUUGUCUUGAAUGUCGUGGAGGUUAGCGGAAUAUGUCAUGUAGCGGUGAAAUGCUUAGAUAUGACAUAGAACACCUAUUGCGAAGGCAGCUAACUACGCGAAUAUUGACGCUGAGGCACGAAAGCGUGGGGAUCAAACAGG